GCCAGUGUGGCACUGUGGUUUGAGCAUUGGACUGCGACUCUGGAGACCAGGGUUCAAAUCACUGUGUGGCCA